rnacentral:rRNA from 1 species
GACGAACGCUGGCGGCGUGCUUAACACAUGCAAGUCGAACGGUGAAGCGCCUUCCUUUUUGGUGGGUGUGGAUGAGUGGCGAACGGGUGAGUAACACGUGAGUAACCUGCCCCCUUCUUCUGGAUAACCGCAUGAAAGUGUGGCUAAUACGGGAUAUUCUGGGUCUGUCGCAUGAUGGGUCUGGGAAAGAUAUUGUUUCGGUGGGGGAUGGGCUCGCGGCCUAUCAGCUUGUUGGUGGGGUGAUGGCCUACCAAGGCGGUGACGGGUAGCCGGCCUGAGAGGGUGGACGGUCACACUGGGACUGAGACACGGCCCAGACUCCUACGGGAGGCAGCAGUGGGGAAUAUUGCACAAUGGGCGCAAGCCUGAGGCAGCGACGCCGCGUGAGGGAUGGAGGCCUUCGGGUUGUGAACCUCUUUCGCCAGUGAAGCAGGCCUGCCUCGUUUGUGGGUGGGUUGACGGUAGCUGGAUAAGAAGCGCCGGCUAACUACGU